UGAACUCCAAGUGGGGCGAGGAGGCUGCUGGGGUUGUCCCAGGGGGCUGUGGUUUGAGGGGACUGUGCUGUUUCAGCCUCCUGGGGAACUCAGGCCCAGCUGCACCUGGUGUGCUAACGAGCCCUGUGGGACGCGUCUUAGUCUUACUUAGACUGGCUCCCGGACGAGUGGCGGCGGUAGGAGGGGGAGGGGCUGACUUCAUGGGGCUUACCGUAUCCUUCCACCCCCAGUAUCUGAGACUCCCAGGCCCUGGUUGGUCCUGCCUCUUCUCCUUCAUAGUGUCCCAGUGUUGCCAGGAGGGCGCUGGUGGUAGCUUGGACCUUGUGUGCCAACACUUCCUCAGGUCUGGGCCUAACCGCCUCCACUGCCUGGGCUCACUCAGGGAGCGCCUCAUUAUUUGGGCAGCCAUGGAUUCUAUCCCAGCCCCAUCAUCAGUUCAGGGACACAACCUGACUGAAGAUGCCAGACAUCCUGAGAGUUGGCAGAACACAGGAGACUAUUCUGAAGGAGAUGCAGUAUCACAGCCACAGAUGGCACUAGAGGAGGUGUCAGUGUCAGAUCCACUGGCAAGCGACCAAGGACAGUCACUCCCAGGAUCCUCAAGGGAGCACAUGGCACAGUGGGAAGUGAGAAACCAGACCCAUGUUCCAAACAGAGAACCUGUUCAGGCACUGCCUUCCUCUGCCAGCCGGAAACGUCUGGACAAGAAACGUUCAGUGCCUGUAGCCACUGUAGAACGAGAAGAAAAGAGGUUCAGAACUCUGCCUUUAGCGCCAAGCCCCCUACAAGGCCUGACCAAUCAGGAUUUACAAGAGGGAGAAGAUUGGGAGCAAGACGAUGAGGACAUGGACCCCAGAUUAGAACACAGUUCCUCAGUUCAAGAAGGUGAGUUAAUGAGAGGAGGGUAAAAAUGCCAGUGGAAAAGACGUAUAAUCACUUGUGUUUUCUUGCUUCCUUCCUAGAUUCUGAAUCCCCAAAUCCUGAAGAUGUACCAGACUACAUCCUGCAAUACAGGGCCAUCCACAGUGCAGAACAGCAACAUGCCUAUGAGCAGGACUUUGAGACAGAUUAUGCUGAAUACCGCAUCCUGCAUGCCCGUGUUGGGACUGCAAGCCAAAGGUUCAUAGAGCUGGGAGCAGAGAUUAAAAGAGUUCAGCAAGGAACUCCGGAAUACAAGGUGCUGGAAGACAAGAUAGUCCAGGAAUAUAAAAAGUUCAGGAAGGUAAGACAAGGUCUGAGAACGGAAGCAAGGUAGAAUGAGAAUUUUAACUUUUUGACAUGGAUGCUUUUUCUCUGCAGCGGUACCCAGGUUACAGAGAAGAAAAGCGUCGCUGUGAGUACCUUCACCAGAAAUUGUCCCACAUUAAAGGUCUCAUCCUGGAGUUUGAGGAAAAGAACAGAGGCAGCUGAAGUUAUCAAGGGAGUUCUUGAGCCUCUGCUUAGUGAAACACAAAGGAACAAAGCAGCUAUAAACUAAAUAGAAUGCAACUAUCUGCUUUUCUUCUGCUGACCACUGGAGUCCAUGGUGGCAAGUAGAGAGUUGCUCUAGGUUCUUGAGGUUUGGUUUUCAUUGUUAAUUUUUAGGGUAUGGGCACUGUACAAAGACUCCAUAGCUGUGCCUAGGAGUCUAGGAAAAGUGACAGAGGCUUGGCUUUUUUACCUUUAGUUCAGCCAAGUCAUUUUCAAGUCCUGAGAAACGACAUCAUCUUCAGGAUAAGAUAAUGAGGACAUUAGACAAACCAAACUAAGUGAAUUUUAGCCUGGUAGCCUCCCUAAGGAAACAGUAAUAAUAACUUCUGAUAAGAGUUAAAAGAAAUUGUAGCAUACCUGGAUAUAAUGGGAAAGGGCCUGGGUGUUACCCAUGUACUGAAAAUGAACUUUUACCAACAUGGCUAAAAAAUUAAAACUGCUUCUGUG
rnacentral:sRNA from 1 species